UCUAACUUCAGGACGGGGACAACAGUUGGAAACGACUGCUAAUACCCGAUAUGCCGCAAGGUGAAACCUAAUUGGCCUGGAGAAGAGCUUGCGUCUGAUUAGCUAGUUGGUGGGGUAAAGGCCUACCAAGGCGACGAUCAGUAGCUGGUCUGAGAGGAUGAGCAGCCACACUGGGACUGAGACACGGCCCAGACUCCUACGGGAGGCAGCAGUGGGGAAUUUUCCGCAAUGGGCGAAAGCCUGACGGAGCAACGCCGCGUGAGGGAGGAAGGUCUUUGGAUUGUAAACCUCUUUUCUCAAGGAAGAAGUUCUGACGGUACUUGAGGAAUCAGCCUCGGCUAACUCCGUGCCAGCAGCCGCGGUAAUACGGGGGAGGCAAGCGUUAUCCGGAAUUAUUGGGCGUAAAGCGUCCGCAGGUGGUCAGCCAAGUCUGCCGUCAAAUCAGGUUGCUUAACGACCUAAAGGCGGUGGAAACUGGCAGACUAGAGAGCAGUAGGGGUAGCAGGAAUUCCCAGUGUAGCGGUGAAAUGCGUAGAGAUUGGGAAGAACAUCGGUGGCGAAAGCGUGCUACUGGGCUGUAUCUGACACUCAGGGACGAAAGCUAGGGGAGCGAAAGGGAUUAGAUACCCCUGUAGUCCUAGCCGUAAACGAUGGAUACUAGGCGUGGCUUGUAUC
rnacentral:rRNA from 1 species